GCAAGUCGAGCGAGGGGUAACCCUAGCGGCGGACGGGUGAGUAACGCGUGGGAACGUGCCCUUUGGUUCGGAAUAGCCCCGGGAAACUGGGAGUAAUACCGGAUGAGCCCUACGGGGGAAAGAUUUAUCGCCGAAGGAUCGGCCCGCGUUGGAUUAGGUAGUUGGUGGGGUAACGGCCUACCAAGCCGACGAUCCAUAGCUGGUUUGAGAGGAUGAUCAGCCACACUGGGACUGAGACACGGCCCAGACUCCUACGGGAGGCAGCAGUGGGGAAUCUUAGACAAUGGGGGAAACCCUGAUCUAGCCAUGCCGCGUGAGCGAUGAAGGCCUUAGGGUUGUAAAGCUCUUUCAGCGGGGAAGAUAAUGACUGUACCCGCAGAAGAAGCCCCGGCUAACUCCGUGCCAGCAGCCGCGGUAAUACGGAGGGGGCCAGCGUUGUUCGGAAUUACUGGGCGUAAAGCGCACGUAGGCGGAUCAGAAAGUCAGAGGUGAAAUCCCAGGGCUCAACCUUGGAACGGCCUUUGAAACUCCUGAUCUUGAGGUCGAGAGAGGUGAGUGGAAUUCCGAGUGUAGAGGUGAAAUUCGUAGAUAUUCGGAGGAACACCAGUGGCGAAGGCGGCUCACUGGCUCG
rnacentral:rRNA from 1 species